AUUGAACGCUGGCGGCAUGCUUUACACAUGCAAGUCGAACGGCAGCGCGGGCUUCGGCCUGGCGGCGAGUGGCGAACGGGUGAGUAAUACAUCGGAACGUGCCCAGUAGUGGGGGAUAGCUCGGCGAAAGCCGGAUUAAUACCGCAUACGACCUGAGGGUGAAAGCGGGGGAUCUUCGGACCUCGCGCUAUUGGAGCGGCCGAUGGCAGAUUAGCUAGUUGGUGGGGUAAAGGCCUACCAAGGCGACGAUCUGUAGCUGGUCUGAGAGGACGACCAGCCACACUGGGACUGAGACACGGCCCCGACUCCUACGGGAGGCAGCAGUGGGGAAUUUUGGACAAUGGGCGAAAGCCUGAUCCAGCAAUGCCGCGUGUGGGAUGAAGGCCUUCGGGUUGUAAAGCACUUUUGGCGGGAACGAAAAGGACUGUGCCAAUACCACGGUUCGAUGACGGUACCCGCAGAAUAAGCACCGGCUAACUACGUG
rnacentral:rRNA from 1 species